rnacentral:misc_RNA from 1 species
UUUCCGUAGGUGAACCUGCGGAAGGAUCAUUCAUAAUAAAGUGUUUUAUGGCACUUUUUAAAAAUCCAUAUCCACCUUGUGUGCAAUGUUAGAUCUCGUCAAUCUUGGCGAGAUUUUUAUACAUCAACUCAUUUUUUAACUAAUUUGUCUGAAAAAUAUUAUGAAUACUUAAUUCAAAAUACAACUUUCAACAACGGAUCUCUUGGCUCUCGCAUCGAUGAAGAACGUAGC